GGUAAGGUGGCCGAGUAGGUGGUGGAUUGUAGCUCCAUGAACAGAGGUUUAAGCCCUCUUCUUACCA
rnacentral:tRNA from 1 species